rnacentral:rRNA from 1 species
UGGGGAAUAUUGCACAAUGGGCGCAAGCCUGAUGCAGCCAUGCCGCGUGUAUGAAGAAGGCCUUCGGGUUGUAAAGUACUUUCAGCGAGGAGGAAGGCGGUAAGGUUAAUAACCUUAUCGAUUGACGUUACUCGCAGAAGAAGCACCGGCUAACUCCGUGCCAGCAGCCGCGGUAAUACGGAGGGUGCAAGCGUUAAUCGGAAUUACUGGGCGUAAAGCGCACGCAGGCGGUCUGUCAAGUCGUAUGUGAAAUCCCCGGGCUCAACGGGGGAACUGCAUUCGAAACUGGCAGGCUAGAGUCUUGUAGAGGGGGGUAGAAUUCCAGGUGUAGCGGUGAAAUGCGUAGAGAUCUGGAGGAAUACCGGUGGCGAAGGCGGCCCCCUGGACAAAGACUGACGCUCAGGUGCGAAAGCGUGGGGAGCAAACA